rnacentral:rRNA from 1 species
UGGUGGGUAGUUUGACUGGGGCGGUCUCCUCCCAAAGCGUAACGGAGGAGCACGAAGGUUAGCUAAUCCUGGUCGGACAUCAGGAGGUUAGUGCAAUGGCAUAAGCUAGCUUGACUGCGAGCGUGACGGCGCGAGCAGGUGCGAAAGCAGGUCAUAGUGAUCCGGUGGUUCUGAAUGGAAGGGCCAUCGCUCAACGGAUAAAAGGUACUCCGGGGAUAACAGGCUGAUACCGCCCAAGAGUUCAUAUCGACGGCGGUGUUUGGCACCUCGAUGUCGGCUCAUCACAUCCUGGGGCUGAAGUAGGUCCCAAGGGUAUGGCUGUUCGCCAUUUAAAGUGGUACGCGAGCUGGGUUUAGAACGUCGUGAGACAGUUCGGUCCCUAUCUGCCGUGGGCGCUGGAGAAUUGAGGGGGGCUGCUCCUAGUACGAGAGGACCGGAGUGGACGCAUCACUGGUGUUCGGGUUGUCAUGCCAAUGGCACUGC